rnacentral:misc_RNA from 1 species
GAUUGGCCAAAAGGCGGCAAGCCGAUGGACUGUUGUACUUGAGGCUGGCCAGUCUGUUGCAAUGGUGUCUGUAAAUUCUGAACUUGUAAUUGGGGAGUCAACAUAUGCUGGCUGUAAUGAAGUUGGCUGGUAUUUGGCAGGUCUUGGGGUGACACUAAUGGCUUCUGCAAUGUCGAUGUUUGCUGACCAACAGCAGGCUGGACUUGACCCAUGGAAGGGUUGAAGCUCUGCUGUGAAG